CCCACACUGGAACAUGUGGAUGUUGCAGCCCAAAGGUGGCUGCAACCCCAUGGGAAGUCCACACUGGAGCAGGGUCCUGGCAGGACCUGUGGCCCCAUGGAGAGAGGAGCUCAUACUAGAGCAGGUUUCCUGGCAGGAUUUGUGACCCCAUGAGGGUACCUUGCUAGAGCAGGCUGUGCCUGAAGGAUUGCUCCCUGAGGAAGGUAGCACCAUGAGGAAGGGGUGAGGGCAGGUGAGUUUUUUAAAGAUUUGUUUUUAAUUUCUCAUUUCCCUAGUCCUGACUGGUAAGAAAUUUAUCUUCCCCAAGCUGAGUCUGUUUUGUCCAUGACAGUAAUUAAUAGGUGAACAACCUCUCCUUGUCCUUAUCUCAACCCAGAAGCCUUUCAUUAAAUUUUUUCUCCCCAGGCUAGCAGAGGAGGGGAAUGAUAGAAUGGCUUUGGUGAGCAGCUGACAUCCAGCCAGGGUCAACCCAGCCUAGAUGGGAAGGAGUUAGAUGGUAUUUUUUAAGGGGGGCCAAGGACAGUAAGUUUCAUUGUUACUGAGCCUCCAUUUAUAUGUCUUAGCAGAGAUUGAAGUGGAAAUGCUUACAUAUAGCAUGGUUGCUACUGCCAUCUCUGACUGAGGUCUCAGAUUCCAGAACUGGAAUGGUAGAGCAGACCCAGAAAAGCCAGUGUCUGCUGGCAUGCAAGUGACUGGACAAGUCAGCCUCUUUGAAGGCAGAGCUGCCUCCAUGAACCAAGCUGGAGCAGGAAUCAGGCCACUCAGCCAGCAGAGCAAGCAUCUCCUUGCUGAGAAGUCCUGGAAGACGCAAUUGGCCAUUGUUCAGCGCCGCAGUUGACCCAGCUGACGCGAACGAACCAUGUGCUGCAUGUUUAAUGGAAACAGAGUUAUGGAGGUGAUACUGGAAGACGCUUUGGACUCAGCUGUCCAAACAAAUGCUCUACUUGUCCUGUGUCCAGAAGGCAACUGCUGGCUCAUGUAGAUCUUCACUAAUGCUAAGAGGCAUAUUUGGUGACUAACUGUAAAAGCCAAAAGACAAAGUCUCUGAGAGAUCAGAAGAUUUAAGCAGAACUAUCUGAAGUCUACUUGCCCCCUUGUCUGCUGUCUGAGCCUCCCAGUGUCUGAAAUUUUGAAACUGAAAUCCCUUUGAUGCCUGAAGGACUUCUCCUGGGCAUAUUAGAGGUUCUUUGUUCCUGCGGCUGCAUGGAUCAUCUUGAGGCUGAAGACUAAGCCUGUCAGGAUUCACAAACCUGCUGAUUCCUCACUCAGCCUGUUUAAAG